CUUUAUUUAUACCCCGCCACCAUCUCCCCACGGGGACUCAGGGCGGCUCACAUGGGGCAAGGCCCGACUAGCACAAUUUACAAAAACACAAAAACAGUCAUACAUUCACAUUGUAGAUAAUUAGUUGUUCUCAACCUGAUUUUCUUGUUUUAUAGUUGAGCUAAGGAACAUCACCAGAGUAAUUCCUGGGAACCUUUAGUUUUAUCAUACAAUUCUCCUGGGGCCAAGCAGUCCACAUAAGUAUUAUUAAGUAGGAGCAUACUGUAGGCAGAGCCUCCAGAUCGUAUAGAUCAACAGGCUAUUAAGAAACCUAUAUUGUAACAAAAAUAAAAUGAGUAUUUUCAGCUUUUGUCACAAUCAUUCUGUGGCAUUUAUCUUUAAAAACAUAGGGCAGUUCACAUCUGCAGAUAUUUCCGGGUGUAAAACCAACCUAAACAAACACUUUUGGCAACAAUUUCAUAUUCUAAUGAAUAUUUUCGCUAUCAUGGCAACUAUACCUUGAGGUCCAAUAUCAUUGUCUUGAAAGAUAUCACUGAUUUGAUUUACUAUAUCUUCCCUCUUUUUUGUCAUGGAUGGUAAAUAAAACAUAAAACAGUACAAAGCAGUUAAUAACAAUGAUAAAUUCAAACUUUUAACCUGUUGUACAUGCAGAUGGAGAGUUUGAAGUACUUACACACAUUUUAAUUUCUUCUUACCAGUAACCUUGAAAGCUAGAUUAGUAUUCUUAUCUCCAUACGGGGCCAAGACAGUGAUACUGUUUUGCCUUUAACAAGGCCAUCUAGUUAAUUUGUAGCAGAUGCAAUAUCUGAAUUGGUGAUUUUCUUGUUUGCCAUCCAGCAGUGCAACACAUUAUGCAGUCUCCAUUUAAUACUACACUAAUAAAAUCAUGAGUUCUGCCAAGCCUAAGUAGGAUUUAACAUCCCAUUUAAGAGUGCCAUACUACAGUUAUAAUACUAUGAUUAUAUUUUAAUAGCCGUGGCUGCAUCCCUAUGAGAUUUGGGGAUUUGCAGUUUGGUGAGGUGCUAGAGCUCUCUGGAAGAGAAUCUUAAAUGCAAGUCCCUCAAAUGACAAUCCCAGGAUUCCAGGGAAUGGAGCCAUGGCAGUGAAAAUUGAAAAUUGUGUUGAGAUUUCUAAAGAGAACACCUCCAGGAAUCCCUUGGAUUCCCAUACAAUUUUGUGGUAUGCUUCCAGCAUAAGUCAACAACAGAGCCAUGCUGGAAGAGCUAGAAAUUCUUGGGAGGUGUUUCCUCAGGUAAAAGCUAAACUUAUUUAUUUGCAGUUUUUCACUUUUAUGGGGCACUGUGCCCUUAAUUCCAGCAAAUGUUAAAGGCUGACUAUAUUGUUUUGUUACAUCUAUCACACACUUUAGGUCUUACAGGACAGAUAGGGCUAUACAUUUGUACACAAAUAAAAAAGAAAGUAGUCAAUUGGUUUACCAUAUGGACUAAUAGAAAGACCCAGUGCCAUUUUCUGUUGUGUUUUGAGUUAUGAGAAAGAAAUGGAAGGUGAGUGCAUGGCACAGAUAGUGAUCAGCUUGAUUAGACAUUCAAUAAUAAAUAAAAUAAAUAAACUUUAUUUAUAUCCUGCCCCCUCUCCAAACAGGACCUGGGGCGGCUUACAAGUGGUAAAAAACACAGUGCAAAAUACAAUUUACAAAGUUUCAACAUGAUACAUAAUAAUAUCAAAAGCCUAAAAAAUAAACCAAAACACAAAAAAGCAAAUAUAAACAUAAUACUUAACAACAAUAUAAAAAACCUGACAGACAUAACAAUAACACAAUAAAAAUAACAUGAAUUUUAAAUUGUUCUGAGUUUAAACAUGUUGACAUUUCCAGUUAUUAUGUGAUAAAUAAUAAUUAUCACACAGGCAUGGCAUGUGAACAAGGAUUUCAAACCAAAGAUUAAUCCUUUUUACAGCAAGCACAGAAUCCCCCUUGCCUCACACAUUCCGUUUCAGUUGUUAUUUUUGAUGCAUUGCUUACAAUCAUUUAUUUUUUAUCUCUGAAACAACAAACUUUAGUACAUUUGUUAUUAUAUCUGAACCAAGACACUGUAUUUUCAUACUCUCCAACUGGCCUGAUCUGGGAGAGACACUCUUGAAUAAUCUUUAUUCAUCCCACUUUCAAUAGCUUUUAAAAUAUCCCAGUUCUUUCACUUUCUCCCUUUGUCCUCAGCUCACUUCAAUAGCUGCAAACUGAGUUGAAACUGCAAGAGUGUUUAGCACUAACGUAACUAAGAAAGAAGAGGAGAGGAGCAAAUCUUGCAUUUUCAAUCGUUUCACACAAAGCCAAGCAGCUGCAGCCUCUCCUAGCUUGUCUUUUAUUUUGCAUUAAUCAUUGCCAAUUUUGCCAUACUGAUGUUGCUCAGCCUUAUGUGUCCUUAUUUUCAUCUGUGAAGUCUUAGAGCCAUUUUGACAGGAGUUUUGCAAGUGUCAUCUCCUCCCUGCCAAAAAACAAAAAAAUGACAAGCAAUCCCACUAUGUUGCUUUGUAAAUAGUGCAACCGUGACAACAGAUGACUUUUCAAACACUAUAAAAAGCAAGAGGAAUGAAUUAUAAAUUCAGUUUCAAGUUAUGAUUAAGCUGGGAUGUAAAACCAGGAUCUGAACUGGCGGUUAGGAAUUCUGGGAGUUGAGUCCAAAACACCUGGAGGGUUGAAAUUUGCCCAUGCCUGAUCUGAACCAACACAAUGUGCUGAAACAGUGCACAUGGGAAGAAGAGGGAUUUUUUUUUUCAUGUCAGGAGCGACUUGAGAAACUGCAAGUUGCUUUCUGGUGUGAGAGAAUUGGCUGUCUGCAAGGACGUUGCCCAGGGGACGCCCGGAUGUUUUGAUGUUUUUACCAUCCUUGUGGGAGGCUUCUCUCAUGUUCCCACAUGGAGCUGGAGCUGAAAGAGGGAGCUCACUGCGCUCUUCCCGGGUUGGAUUUGAGCCUGGCAGCCUUCAGGUCAGCAACCCAACCUUCAAGUCACAAGGCUUUAACCCACUGCGCCACCGAGGGCUCCAGAAGAGGGAUAAGCAAGGAGCACGGGGCCAUGUAGUUUAUUCCUAGGCAAUAAAGCAUGAUUACCGUUGAUCUAUGCCUUGGGCCCCAUCUACACUGACCAUUUAAUGAAGCUUCAUACAAUCUUCAAAAUGUGAUGACUAGACUAGGCAUGCCAUGAAAGUGCACUUCAUAGUGCUUUAAAUCCAGUAAUCUGACACAAAACAAAGUCGGGGAAACUAAAAAAUGAUGCUCUAUACAUAUCAGCGUCCUGUAGUAUUGAUACAUUUCUACAUUUAUACUACAUUUCACCACAAAAUCGGCCUCACAGAAUACAAAUAGCUAUGCAGACACCCAAAAUAUUCCACAGAUGUACACAUGUGCAUUCUGGAGGGGGGAGUUGGAAAAAAGUCCCAUAUUCUCCUAAACUAAUAAGCUGUGGAUCCUGGAACCAUUUCGAGGCCAGCCUAUGCGUACGUGUAAUCACUAUCCAGACUGGUUCCAGGGUUUGCAAUCUUAUCAUCUGCACAGUAAAAACCACUUUCUUCAAUACCAGUUCCAAACUGAUCUUGCAAACAAAUUUGUAAAAUGUGCGCUAAAUAAUAAUUUGUAAUUGGUUAAGUGAUUGAAUCCAAAGGGUGCACACUAAUGGUUCCCCUUCAUCCUAUUUAGGCUGUGCCGUUGCGCUGGCAAUCACUGGUCUUGAUUUUUUCUUCCUCACUUUUUUCUUUGUAGAUUUUUCUUUCAGCUACAAGUAGACCUAUUUUAUUUCUACAUUAUUUUAGUAGAUUUAAUAAUUAGUUAAAAUGAAAGGAAAUGUUAGCACUACUCCAGCCUACCAGGAAUGGCUCAUGCUCUCAAUUGCAUGUUGUGGUCUGUUUUCACAACUCUAAGUAGUUUGUCAUCAUCCUUGAAGGUUUAAAGGGUUCACAUAGUUGUGACAAGUAGGAGCUCUAGACACCUGUGGCCUUGGCUCUGUCUCAGUUGUUGUGUCUAAGGCAGUAUUGGGGCUGUGUUAUCUGCACAAAAAGCAAGGAAAACAUAAAAGUGAGACAAACCCAAAGAAACAACCCAAUGGGAACUGAGCAUGGCUCUAUGGCCAUGGAAUUCUAUGGAAGAGUGGAGUGGCCACAGUGCCAAAAUCUGCCCCCAAAAUAGAUUAAAAAUAGAGAGAGCAGCCUCAUUUGGGGGAUUGGGGAUGUCUUCUCUACCCUUAUUACUUCAGUAUUUCCAAGAGCAGAAGUGAAAGUUAUCUAUAAAACAAAUGGGAAAGUCUAAGAUUUUAAUGUAGUCAUUAGUAGUUGCCACAUAUCACCAGUAUGUCCACCCAACUCCCAAAAGAAUCCAGUGAGGUUAUUCUCAUUGUGCUGAACAUUGUAAGGGUGGAAAACAAAGCAAACAGAAUCAAGUGACUAGAACCCUGAACAGAUGCAUUCUACUCAGUAAUAUUAUGUUUCAAGGUUCCUUCUGUUUAGUAGUCUUAUAAUAACAACUAUACUAUAAAACGCCAAAAAAAUGACUAUCGUACUCUGUUAGCACUAUCAGGACCACUUCACUCAGGGCAUUUUUGCGCCAUUUUGCUGCUUUUAUUCACAGCAAGGACAGGGCCUGCUGUACACCAUCACACAAUGAAAAGGGCCACGUGAAGAGGCUGUAACUCACUUCCGCAGCGAUUGUCCAGAAGAACAUCUUCCUAGAGCCUACCUUCUUUCUCAUAAUUCAAAGAGAGAGCCUUCAUAUCUUGUUACUGAUCAUUUCAUUUCACACACCUUUAUGCAAAGCUCUGAAGGAUGUGAUGGUGAAUGCACUCAAAAUGACAAGAUAUAUACUGAAGUACUACGCAGCAGCAGCUCUUUCCUCUCUGGGUUUACUUCUGAUUAGCUUCAAAGCACUUUUUCUGUGUUUGAAGUGUGCUAUGAAAUAUCAUUGCCAUUUUGACAGCUGCUUCAAAGGUAAAAUACCGCAUAACUCAUCCUGAAGAAGAAUCGCAAACUGUGCUGUUUAUUUGGUGUUGGUGAUGGGCACAUACAUGACCAAGUUAAACACAUGGAGGUUACUUCAGCAGGAGACUUAGGUACAUGUUUAGUGUUUUACUUUUGACUCGGGGGAAUAAAAAACUUAAAACUUCUGGAUUUCUGGUUGGAUAAUACACUCCUCAUGUUUUACCAAAUUCAAGGUAAUUGUUGUUGAAAAUUAGACCCUAAAAUUAUGAAAGAUGGCUCCAUUGGGACAUACAGCACGCCCAAAUUACCUUUUACAUUUUGUCCUGCAAUAACGUUUUAUGAAACCAUCCAGUGAUUAUGUAGAACUGAGCCCAGGACUAAUCAGAGAAUUUUUUUUCCUUCGUGUCAGGAGCAACCUGAGUCGCUUCUGGAGUGAGAGAAUUGGCCGUCUGCAAGGACAUUGCCCAGGGGACGCCUGGAUGUUUUGAUGUUUUUACCAUCCUUGUGGGAGGCUUCUCUCAUGUCCCCGCAUGGAGCUGGAGCUGAUAGAGGGAGCUCAUCCGCACUCAGAGAAUGGAUCCUAGCUGAACAUUUUCUGAACCAAUCAGGAGCACACAUGGAGAAGCCUAAGGAAGGAAGGAAGGAGAAGCCGAAGGGAGAGAAAAGGAGGCUGAAGCAGCUUUGUUUUCGCCUCACAAGGCAGCGGCAGACAGUGAGAUUGUAAACAACACAAAUAUAGCAUCCCUACUUCGCUGAUUUUCACUUUUCGUGGGUGGUUCUGGAACAUAACCUCCGUGAUAAGUGAUGGAACACUGUAUUCACAAUUGUGGUAUGUUAGUUCUUUACAGUGGUGUUUCUCUUGACAUGCUCUCUGGACACUGAAAAUAAAGUCUUUGAUUUUGCCUUCA